UACAGAGGUCCCAAGCGUUGUUCGGAUUCACUGGGCGUAAAGGGUGCGUAGGUGGUGAGAUAAGUCGGAUGUGAAAUCUCCAAGCUCAACUUGGAAACUGCAUUGGAAACUAUCUUGCUAGAGGGUUUGAGGGGGGACUGGAAUACUUGGUGUAGCAGUGAAAUGCGUAGAUAUCAAGUGGAACACCAGUGGCGAAGGCGAAUCCCUGGAAAAUACCUGACACUGAGGCACGAAAGCUAGGGGAGCAAACAGG
rnacentral:rRNA from 1 species